rnacentral:lncRNA from 1 species
UCAAAAAUAAUUAUGCUAAAAUAUACUUUUUCUAUAUAUUUUCAUAAUUUUAGAGGCUGAAGUCAAGGAGAAAUCUAAACCAGCCCCCGAGAAGAAAGGUAAGUGUUACCAUUAUUUAAACUUUUUACAUUUUAUCGAUUUCAUUUAUGCUUCAUUCAGAUUGACAUUUUACCCAAGCUAACAGCAUUCACCUAUUUACAAUCUCUAAAUGUUAUUUUAUAGUGGCUGCAGUCAUUAAGGAGAAAGUAGCUCCUGUAAAGAAAGAGCCUGAAGUUGCAAAAGAAAAGGCACCUGAACCAAAACCAGAAUCCACCAAGAAAGGUGUUAAUAUUCUAUAUUUACUGUUUAUAUUUUAAAAUGUGCAAUUUUGAAAACAUGCCUCGUACACAUAUUUUCAUAUAAGCCUUUCGUAGAAAGAAUAUUAAUUUACCUUGUGAUGUCUUUUCAGUUGAGGUUCCAAAGGAAAAAGAAAAACCAGUCCCUGAAAAGAAAGGUACGUACCUAGUUUACCUGUCAAUUCAAAAUCACUUUGAAUAAUUAUGUAAUGCAGCACCUUGUUGAUUUAUCUGUACAUCUGCAAACUCUAAAGUUAAACACUCAUGUUUUGCAGCAGCACCUGAAAUAACCAAAGAAAAACCCAAGUCUGUACCAAAGAAGGGUAAAUUGCUUACAUUUAUUAGUGGGAAUAAUGCUUAUAUAUAUAUAUAACAGCUUUUCCACUGGCCUUUUGUAAAUAAAGCUAAUCGUUCGCAUUUUUCUUUAUUUAUAUAUAUAUAUAUUUUUUUUUUUCUUUAGAGGCUGAAGUCAUCAAAGAGAAAGUUAAACCAGCUCCUGAGAAGAAAGAGCCUGAAGUCAUUAAGGAAAAGGUUAAACCAGCCCCUGAGAAAAAAGAGGCUGAAGUCAAGAAGAAAGCAAAACCAGCUCCUGUAAAGAAAGGUAUGGAUGUGAAUGAAAUGCUUUUGUUUGAUGAUUAUUUUUUCAUGGAACUUGAAGUUUCAUGUCAGUUGUUAUAA